rnacentral:rRNA from 1 species
GACAGAGGAUGCAAGCAAGCGUUAUCCGGAAUGAUUGGGCGUAAAGCGUCUGUAGGUGGCUUUUCAAGUCUGCCGUCAAAUCCUAGGGCUCAACCCUGGACAGGCGGUGGAAACUACCAAGCUAGAGUACGGUAGGGGCAGAGGGAAUUUCCGGUGGAGCGGUGAAAUGCAUUGAGAUCGGAAAGAACACCAGCGGCGAAAGCGCUCUGCUGGGCCGACACUGACACUGAGAGACGAAAGCUAGGGGAGCAAAUGGG